CGUCAUGACGUGACGUUCAGGUGCUUCCUCCUCCUCCUCCUCCUCUUCCUCAGUGAGACGUGGGACCUGUCUGCUGUCUUCAGUGUUCAGAACUGUGCAGAGUUCACAUGGAUCCACCUGUGAGGAGAGAAAACAAAGCAGGUGACUGACGAGAGGAAAAACCCUGAAGACGAGCAGUCGAGACCGACAAGAGGAGCCUGAAGCUGCGGAGUGUUCAGAGUGAGUGCUGCAGUUUUUACUGGCUAUUUAUGUAAUAAACAUUUUUUCUUUAAAUA